CUGAUGGGUUUUUUUUUCUUUUUUUUCUUCUUGGGUUUCGUCCUGACAGCAUGGAUUCGCGUCCAGUGGCAGCGGCUGGCAAGAAAAGUUUUCGUAAAGAAGGGAUUGCCCCGUUUGAUGAGGAUGUGGAAAUGGAGAAUGCGUUUCCUCCUCCGCUACCAUCUUCACCGCCGCCGCCUCUCCCAUCCUCGCCGCUACCCAAUCGCUAAAGUGUGUGUCAACUUAGAGCUUUUUCCUUAAAAAACUUGUAGCUUUUUUUUUUA